UUUCUGUUGGAUGCACUAUUAUUUGGUGAAACAUGAGUUCAGCAAUGCAAUGAUAAAAUCGCUGCACUGAAUCAAAGGUGAAGGAGGACACACAUUUCCUGACAUUUGUGGACCCCACCACCUCUGCUCUGCCUGAGAAGGUUUAGAAAGAACAUCUUUGCUUGAGCCACCUGGCUGCUGCCACCUCCACCUGCCCAUCCCCCACCGCAUUCCACUGAUGCAGCUUCAAACUGAUGGUCAAUUGAACCCAAUUAAGAGUGGGUGGAGCUUCUCACAGAAGCAGCACUUGACCUGGCAGAAUCAGCAGCACAGGCAGACUGAGGCAACGGAUGGAAGUAGGAGAAGUUAAAGAAAAACAGAGAGAAUGAUUCACCAGGCUGCGGGCACGCUUACAGCGCCUGAGGGAGCAUCACGAUAAAUGCCUAUCCAGGCACAUGGAGCGAGAAAAACAACAAAAACAGCCCUCAGGAAGACCAAACCAUCAGUGGGAGAGCUCAUCACUACCAGACCUUCUGUUUGAGCAAUUUCCAGAUUCCAGUUUGGAAAUAAUCCAAGAUUCUGAUAGUGACACAGAGAUAUUCACUCCUGAAAGUUCACACUCCAGUCCUGCUGAAGACCCAUAUGUUCCACCCCUGAGAAGAACAGACGGCUUAUUGGACCCUCAACAUGGAAGAGGAAACAGGAAAGCAUUGAGUCUGACAGUGGAGACCUUCAAAACAUAAAACGCAAAGAGGAGGAGUUGGUCAUUUGCAGAGGUACACACCGUUGAAAAGACACUAAUGGCCUUCAUAAACUCUGGUAAAGUACCUGGAAAGUGUUUUGCCUGUCUUAAGGCACCACCAGCACUCGAACAAAGAAGCUGGACAGCAAGUUCUAUGUUAAAAAUCAUGUCACUGCCAUUCACAGUGAAAGUUCAUGAACAAUUUACUGAAUGUGUGUUGACACAUGAUGCCCUUUGCACUAGUUCUUACAGGGUCUGAAAAUUGUUUGAUUUCAUUUGAUAAAUGUGUAGUUAGCUUGACUUUUCUGUUGAAAAGAUGCUGGUGGCCUUCAUAUAAUCUGGUUAAGUACCAGGGGUAGUUAGACCGAGCCGUGACUUGAGUCAAGUUGGUAUGCUGUGGGUGUUUGUACAUUAGCCCACACUGAACCACACGGUUCAGUAAAAUAAGUUGUUUACUUGUUGGAGGUGUGCUGGCUGUCUACAGCUCUUAUCAGACAUUACUGUGGCCAUUUAUGUUUGUAAAAUUCUUAUUAUGGGAAAGUCUGACUGUCUGUAUUAAGGCUUCACCAGAAGCACUUAAAACAAAGAAGCUGGUUAGACGUAAAGUUCAAACUUGUAUCACUGCCAUUCAGCAUGAAAGUGGAAGAUACAUGAUGAUACAUGUCCAAAAAAAUGCAAAGGCCAUUCUAAAUAAAAGUUUUGUGAAAAUAAGAGCCUUGUCUCUCCCUGUUGUACAGUAGGUCGAGGUUUUUUCCCCACCUGAUGCAUUUCAAAAGCAAACAUUGUAUCUGAUCAUCAGAUUCAGUAGAAAGUCAUAAUGGCUUGUGAAAUCAUCUUUUGGCCACUGAAAGAAUCCUAAAUGUGGAUGGUAGUGUGUUGAGUAAAUGAAUUGUGUGCUGUUAAAGGUAACAGUGCACUAGGGUGAUAACAUCUUUAAUGUUGAACCAAUAUGACCGGGUCGAGCAACAAGCCUGAUUUCUAAAGAAGACAGGUAAAUUAUCGAUCAUGUUUAUCAACUGUUUAAUCAUGUGUUUGCCCAACAAUCAUAUUUUAGAAUAAGAAUCUGGUCGACAUUUGAAGAAACAUCUGGCAUCUGAUAGUCUAUAUCACUAGAUCCAAUGUUUAUUUAAUGUAAUAUCAAGGUUUAAAUCCAACAUUUUUUAGAUUAAAUGCCUGUCAUCAAUUGUGCCACACCUAACAGUGGAGUUGAUUGUUUGCCAAUAUAUACAACAUGAACGGUCCCCAGUGGGGGGCAAAAGUCAGGUUUAAAAUUUUUGAGAGAGUUUUUGAUGUUUCAAGUGAUUUUCAUGUUUACAAAAAUUAUAAUGAUUUUAGCAGUUAAAAUCAUGUCUCUAGACCCUUCAGAAAGGGUGGAUCCCACCAGGCUACUCCCAGUCAGGGUGUCUCACAGUGUAGUAAAAACGUGUGUGUGUGUGUGUUUCAGCAGUUUCAGUGGAGCCCAGAGGAGAACAGAGAACUGAGGAGGAGGGGAGAGGAGAGGAGAAGAGAGAACAAGAGAGUGGAGAGCAGUGGAGAGCGAAAGAAGCAGAGUUUAGAGGAGAAGAAGGGAUGUAGAGGAGAGGAAGACAGGAGUGUAGAGUGAAUGAGGAGGAGUUUAGAAGAGAAGAAGGGAGGAUGACAGGAGUGGAGAGUGAAGGAGAGGAGAACAGAAGGAGAGAGGAAAAAGAUUUAGUGAGUUAAGAGACAGUGGUAAGAGUACACUGUAUUAUACAACUAUACACUGUGCUCCAAUACUCACAGUUACACUCUUGUAAAUCCACUGAUGUUCUCUGUGGUGGCUAUGAUUUGUAUUGAUUUUUGUGCUUAUUGUUGAAUCAUUAAAAGUAGUUAAAUAUG